GACGAACGCUGGCGGCGUGCUUAACACAUGCAAGUCGAACGGAAAGGCCCUGCUUUUGUGGGGUGCUCGAGUGGCGAACGGGUGAGUAACACGUGAGUAACCUGCCCUUGACUUUGGGAUAACUUCAGGAAACUGGGGCUAAUACCGGAUAGGAGCUCCUGCUGCAUGGUGGGGGUUGGAAAGUUUCGGCGGUUGGGGAUGGACUCGCGGCUUAUCAGCUUGUUGGUGGGGUAGUGGCUUACCAAGGCUUUGACGGGUAGCCGGCCUGAGAGGGUGACCGGCCACAUUGGGACUGAGAUACGGCCCAGACUCCUACGGGAGGCAGCAGUGGGGAAUAUUGCACAAUGGGCGGAAGCCUGAUGCAGCAACGCCGCGUGCGGGAUGACGGCCUUCGGGUUGUAAACCGCUUUCGCCUGUGACGAAGCGUGAGUGACGGUAAUGGGUAAAGAAGCACCGGCUAACUACGUGCCAGCAGCCGCGGUGAUACGUAGGGUGCGAGCGUUGUCCGGAUUUAUUGGGCGUAAAGGGCUCGUAGGUGGUUGAUCGCGUCGGAAGUGUAAUCUUGGGGCUUAACCCUGAGCGUGCUUUCGAUACGGGUUGACUUGAGGAAGGUAGGGGAGAAUGGAAUUCCUGGUGGAGCGGUGGAAUGCGCAGAUAUCAGGAGGAACACCAGUGGCGAAGGCGGUUCUCUGGGCCUUUCCUGACGCUGAGGAGCGAAAGCGUGGGGAGCGAACAGGCUUAGAUACCCUGGUAGUCCACGCUGUAAACGGUGGGUACUAGGUGUGGGGUCCAUUCCACGGGUUCCGUGCCGUAGCUAACGCUUUAAGUACCCCGCCUGGGGAGUACGGCCGCAAGGCUAAAACUCAAAGGAAUUGACGGGGCCCCGCACAAGCGGCGGAGCAUGCGGAUUAAUUCGAUGCAACGCGUAGAACCUUACCUGGGUUUGACAUGGAUCGGGAGUGCUCAGAGAUGGGUGUGCCUCUUUUGGGGUCGGUUCACAGGUGGUGCAUGGCUGUCGUCAGCUCGUGUCGUGAGAUGUUGGGUUAAGUCCCGCAACGAGCGCAACCCUUGUUCACUGUUGCCAGCACGUUAUGGUGGGGACUCAGUGGAGACCGCCGGGGUCAACUCGGAGGAAGGUGGAGAUGACGUCAAGUCAUCAUGCCCCUUAUGUCCAGGGCUUCACGCAUGCUACAAUGGCUGGUACAGAGAGUGGCGAGCCUGUGAGGGUGAGCGAAUCUCGGAAAGCCGGUCUCAGUUCGGAUUGGGGUCUGCAACUCGACCUCAUGAAGUCGGAGUCGCUAGUAAUCGCAGAUCAGCAACGCUGCGGUGAAUACGUUCCCGGG
rnacentral:rRNA from 1 species